CUUAACCGCUCGGCCACGGGGCCAGCCCCAGGAAACUAUUUUUAAUGAUGUAAUCUCAACUUCAGCAAGCAGGAGUGGUCUGGCUAUUGAUGUGUAUCUACUUAGAGAGAUUUUUGCCUCCUCGGUGGAGCAGGUGACUGUACACCAGCUUUGCGGUUUUGCUUCAUGCUCCCUUUGUGGGUUGUGGAUCAGAGAACACAGGCAUGCCACCUUGAUGAAGAACAGCGAUGCAAGGCACCAAGGACCCUGUAGAAAUUCCUCCACUGGCAAGUUGUUUAGGCUGAAACAGGAAGCAGUGUUUCAUGGAUGAUUGCUGUGUCCCCUUUUAUUCCAGAAGGUUAACUAAAGAGCAGUUGCCUCAGACCCGGAGAACAAGGCAAGUCAGUAUGGUAUUAUGUUGUUUAAAUUCUGUCAUGAUUUUUACACCACAGAUGUCCCUUAAAUUGCAAAACUUCUUUACAAUUUCAAAACUUUAAAGGGAAAUAGGGAGCAUCUCGGUGGAUUGCUGGCGAUACCGCUCUAUAUAGCUGUAGUGAACUCUGGGCAUAUGAAUUGGCCAGGGGUUCCAGAACUGCUUUUCAUUUUAAGUAAUUUAAACUCUUUAGAUAUUAAUUAAUGCAAUUCUCAUCCUCAGCAUUCCUAAAAUAACAAUAGCCCCAAAAUGAUAAAAAUAAAGGUGAUGGUUUAAAGUAUAGGCCUGAAAUUUCACACGUGAACUGACUUGCUCUCUACUUUCUAGAAAUCUGGGGGCCAGCUGUGCCCGUAACCAGCACUCAUCUAGCAAAAAUUUGCUGCAUGUCUGCAUGACAUGCUGCCACUUUGCCAGGACCUUUAGGUCCUGCUUUGCACUGUACAUGUGUGUGCACACACACAUGCACACAAAAAAUUGUGAGAUUUUACAAAAAAUUGUGCCUAUUAAAUUUUAGAUGUUUAUGUGCUUGAAUUUAACAGAAUACUCAUAUAGCUCUCAGUCUUUGGUGAGACUGGGCCCCAUUGUGGCUAUCCCCAAACCAUUAUUCCUCAACUAUAAUUUGACCUCAUUUGGCUGAUAUUAGAAUGUGACGUGCUCAAUUCUCAUGUGUACGUAUCUCUGUGUGAUGUCGUUUUGAGACAAUUCUUGGGGUUCUCGUUCAGGUCUCAAUGGUGUGCUUGUUCUUGGUCUCUUGUUCCGGUCUUAAUUCAUUGUUCAUGCCUCAAGGAAGUAGGUGUAAUUCAAACUCAGUUCAGGAGACUGGAUUUGAAUUACACCUAAAGCUUCUCUUUCUCCAAUUAUACUUUACACAUAUGGAGAAUCCUCAAAGUAGGAGGAGAAAUACAUGAGAAAAUAAGUUGAAUUCAUUCAUUCCACAAGUAUUUAGAGAGUAAUUACCAUCUUUUAAUAGAGAACCUUUUCUCAUUAUAGAAGAAGUAUAUGUACAUUGUAGGAAUUUGGAAAAUACAGAUAGGCACACAGGAGGAUAUACACCUCAUCCAUAAUGCUACCAUCCAGAGAUUUCAACAUUCAUAUUUUGGUGAUUUAUUAGUAUUUGGGUUGAUACAGUCCCAGUUUUGACCUCUAUCUAUCUAUCUAUCUAAUCUAUCUAUCUCUCUGUCAUAUAUCCCUUGCUGGGGUCCAGGGCAGGCUGACUCGAAAUAUCCCACAACAGUAUAUUGAUUAUUUUAAAUUAAAGUUGCUUAAGAAGCAAAAAGGGCUUUCUGACCCUCCUGGCUCUGGUCCCUGGAAAGCAGGAAAUAAGUCUCCCAUGUGAAAGAUGCUCUCCCUGCGUCCUUAUCACCAGAUCGAGGGGAUUCUGGGCCAAGAAGUCCGUAUAAACAAACUUUGCUAAUUUACGACAGCAAGUCUAAACUCUGCUUACAUUCCUCACUAAUUACGUACCUCAAACCUAGUUUCUUUGUCCUAUGGUUCCACACAAAUUUAUUGUUUCUUUGUGUGAAAUAUAUAUACUGUCUGCUUUGUUCAUUCUCCA